ACUUAUAUUCUGUAGCAAGGUUAACCGAAUAGGGGAGCCGAAGGGAAACCGAGUCUUAACUGGGCGUUAAGUUGCAGGGUAUAGACCCGAAACCCGGUGAUCUAGCCAUGGGCAGGUUGAAGGUUGGGUAACACUAACUGGAGGACCGAACCGACUAAUGUUGAAAAAUUAGCGGAUGACUUGUGGCUGGGGGUGAAAGGCCAAUCAAACCGGGAGAUAGCUGGUUCUCCCCGAAAGCUAUUUAGGUAGCGCCUCGUGAAUUCAUCUCCGGGGGUAGAGCACUGUUUCGGCAAGGGGGUCAUCCCGACUUACCAACCCGAUGCAAACUGCGAAUACCGGAGAAUGUUAUCACGGGAGACACACGGCGGGUGCUAACGUCCGUCGUGAAGAGGGAAACAACCCAGACCGCCAGCUAAGGUCCCAAAGUCAUGGUUAAGUGGGAAACGAUGUGGGAAGGCCCAGACAGCCAGGAUGUUGGCUUAGAAGCAGCCAUCAUUUAAAGAAAGCGUAAUAGCUCACUGGUCGAGUCGGCCUGCGCG
rnacentral:rRNA from 1 species